CUGAAUCAUUACUUCAUCUCUCCUGUUUUUAACAAAUCAAACCGUGUGAAAAUCGGGUAAAAAUUGGUGAAUUUGUGAUUAUUAUAAGGAUGCUCUGAAAUAAUAAAUGUUUAUCAAACAUUUAUCUAAAAGCCCAAUAUCGAUUAUUUUUUUUGUUUUGUGACUUUUGUUUUUU